UAUUUGUGAUUCUCCCAUAACCGGGAAAAAAAAAAAAGUGAAAGUAAACAGGGAGAAAAAAGAAGAAAUAUUAAAGCUGGAUUGUAUAAGAGAACAUAAACGGAGGUUUCUUCGUCGGAAGUGAGACUACUAAAACCGGAAGCUGUAGUGCCGGCUAAGCGCCGUCUCCUCUUCGAGGGUUUCGUUCUGUAAUCACGGAGCUUCGAGUGCCCUGAAAAUGAGUGAAGAAGACGAUGCUAUAAGACGGUUAGAAGAAGCAGUUGUGGACAAUCCUUCGCUCCACUUUGAUCUCGGGGUCUUGUUAUGGGACAAGGGAGGAGACAUUCAGGAAAAAGCAGCUCAGCAUUUUCUCAUAGCGGCGAAGCUUAACCCACAAAACGGUGCUGCUUUCAGAUAUUUGGGGCAUUACUAUGCUCGAGUGGCUGUCGACUCUCAGAGGGCUCUCAAGUGUUAUCAGAGAGCCGUCAACCUUAAUCCCGAUGAUUCAAUUGCAGGGGAAGAAAUAUGUAAUAUACUGGAUGGAAGUGGAAAAGAGAGCUUGGAGAUAGCGGUAUGCCGCGAAGCUUCAGAGAAGUCACCCAGGGCCUUUUGGGCUUUAUGCAGAUUGGGUUACCUUUUGGUCAACCAAAAGAAGUGGUCCGAAGCAGUGCAGAGUCUUCAGCAAGCCAUUAGAGGCUAUCCCACAUGUGCUGAUUUGUGGGAGGCUCUGGGUCUUUCCUACCAGCAAAUGGGCAUGUUUACAGCCGCUGUUAAGUCCUAUGCAAGAGCUAUUGAAUUGGAGGAAUCAAGAGUAUUUGCAUUGGUGGAAAGUGGAAAUGUCCAUUUGAUGCUUGGUUCGUUUCGAAAGGGAAUAGAGCAGUUUCGGCAAGCUUUACUAAUCUCACCUCUGAAUUUGUCUGCGCAUCAUGGGCUUGCCUCUGCACUCCUUAGUUUGGCAAAGGAAUCUAUUGAUUCUGGUGCCUUCAAAUGGGGAGCUUCGCUCUUAGAGGAAGCCUCGAAAGUGGCUCUAGCAAGUACUUCCAUUGUUGGCAAUGUGUCUUGUUCUUGGAAGCUGCAUGGAGAUAUUCAGCUCAUAUACGCAAAAUGUUUUCCAUGGAUGGAUGAAAGAUUGGGAUCAGGAGCUGAUGAAAAAUCAUUCAGUAGUUCAAUCCUGUCAUGGAGGAGAAACUGCUGCUUAGCAGCCAGAUCUGCUUGUCGCUCCUACCAGCGGGCUUUGCAUUUGUCCCCUUGGCAAGCUAAUGUGUAUACUGAUGUUGCCAUUGCAUCUGAGCUUCUUUUAUCGUUAAAGGAGAACUGUAAAGAUGACAUUAACUCUUGGUUUGUGUCUGAAAAGAUGUGCCUUGGAGGCUUAUUACUUGAAGGUUGCAAUAGCGAAUUUUGGGUAGCCUUAGGAUGUUUAUCUGAUCAUUCUGCAUUGAAACAACAUGCUUUCAUACGGGCGCUGCAGUUGGAUGUUUCUCUUGCAGUUGCAUGGGCACAUCUUGGAAAGCUUUAUCGGCUGGAGGGGGAAAGUCAAUUGGCUCAGCUAGCAUUUGAUCGUGCAAGAAGUAUUGAUCCUUCACUUUCAUUGCCAUGGGCAGGCAUGUCAGCUGAUGCUGAUGCAAGGAAUCUGAAACCAGACGAGGCUUAUGAGUGCUGUCUUCGGGCGGUUCAGAUCUUUCCACUUGCAGAAUUCCAAACUGGUCUAGUUAAGCUUGCUCUGCAGUCUGGUUAUCUGCGAUCUUCAGAGGCAUUUGGAGCCAUCCAACAGGCUUUGCAGCGUGCACCUCAGUAUCCUGAAUCUCACAAUCUGAAAGGGCUAGUUUGUGAGGCACGAGGUGAUUAUGAAAGUGCUGUUGCCUCGUAUAGACUGGCACGCCUUGCUGCCAGAGUUUUUGCAGGAAGAGUUUCAAAAUCGUAUCCAGCAGAUAUAUCUAUUAAUUUGACCAGGUCGCUUUGUAUGGCAGGAAAUGCUGAUGCAGCUAUCCAAGAAUGUAAAUAUUUGGAAAACAAAGGUCUUCUGGAUGUAGAAGGCUUGCAGCUUUAUGCGCUUUCUUAUUGGAAACUUGGCAAGUAUGACCUUGCUCUUUCAGUGGCAAAAAGACUGGCCUCAUCUACUUUACCAACAGAACAUUCGUUGGCUGCUGCAUCCAUCAGUUUCAUCUGUCGAUUACUGUAUCAUAUGUCAGGGCAGGAAUUAGCUAUUAGAAACAUUUUGCAACUGCCCAGAAGAGCAUUCGAGAGUUCAAAAGUUAGGCUUGUAGCAUCUGCUAUUCAUGCAUUAGAUGAAAGUCAUCAGCUUGACUCAGUUGUUUCAAGUGUUCGUGAGUCUCUUUCAUCUAGCAAAGAGAUUGCUGCACUGGAUUUCCUAGCCACACUUGGCUUACUAGUCAAACAUGGAUCUAACAACUGCUUAGGAGUUCAGAAGGGAGUCAAUUAUCUAAGAAGAGCUCUUCAUGUUUCUCCAAACAGUAAUUUGAUAAGGAACCUUCUUGGUUAUCUGUUAUUAUCCAGCGAAGAAUGGAAAGACGUUCACAUUUCAGCUCGAUGCUUCAUAGUGGAUCCUUCUGAACAUCAGAAGCAGGAAGGUGUUAAAUCCAGUGUUGAGAUUUUUGGUGCUGGAGCAGUUGCGUGCUGUACUGUGAGGAGCAGCAAGAAGACAUUACCCAUGUUCAUCUGUAGAGAAAGUUUGACAUCGGGGUGCAAAACAAUCCAGCUGCUGCAGAAGUGUGUCCAUCAGCAGCCUUGGGACCAUACUUCCUAUUACCUGCUUAUACUAAACUAUCUGCAAAAGGCGCGGGAGGAGAAAUUUCCGCAUAACAUGUGUGUUGUUCUUGAGCGGUUAAUAAGUGUGGCUCUUCAAAAUGAGCUUUAUGCGAAGGAAGAUAUUUCAUACCAAUACCAAAAGUUCCAGCUUCUGCUUUGUGCUGCGGAGGUUGGUUUGCAAUGUGGGAAUAAUUUCAAUUGCAUUAUGCAUGCAAAAAGUGCUCUAGAGAUGCAGCUUUCAGAUAACUAUCUCUUCUUUGCACACUUGCUACUGUGUCGUGCCUAUGCUGUGGAAGGUAAUUAUAUUGGGCUUCAUGAAGAGUACGUUAGGUGCUUGGAGCUCAAAACUGAUUAUCAUAUUGGUUGGAUUUGCCUCAAGUUUCUUGAAAGUCAAUACAAGCUGCACUCAGAUUCCAGUUCACUAGCCUUGGCCUUUCAAGAGUGUUGCAAGGAGAUAAAGACUUCGUGGAACAUGUGGAUUGCUAUAUAUAAUUUGGUUCAAGGUCUAACUGCAGUUUUGAAUGGGGAAUUUAUUGACGCAGAAGAGUCACUUGCGCAAGCUUGCUCGUUAGCUGGUGGCGAGAGUUGCCUUUUUCUCAGCCAUGGUGCUAUUUGCAUGGAGAUUGCCAGACAACAGUCCGAUUCAGAGUUUCUAUCACUUGCUAUUAGAAGUCUGAAGGAAGCAAAACAUAGUUCUUCGAUGCCGUUACCCUUUGUCUCACUACUACUGGCGCAAGCAGAAGCUAGCCUCGGCUCUGAAUCAAAGUGGGAAAAAAACCUCAUUGAGGAAUGGUCAUCUUGGCCACAAGAGAUUAGGCCUGCUGAACUAUUUUUCCAGAUGCAUUUGCUUGCUAGACGGCUGACAGAAGGUUCUGGAGCUACAUCCAAUCUGGAGCCAUCAACAAGUCCUCUAAGAUGGAUACUUGAAGCAAUCCAUAUGAAUCCGUCUUGUUUGAGAUACUGGAGAGCUUUGUUGAAAUUUAUGGAGUAAAUUGCAAGCUCCGCAACUCGUACGACAACUCAAAUUCUGUCCUUUCCUCUACCAUUGCCAAUUCCUUUCACCUAACAAGUAUUGUCAUACGUGUAGUUUGACAUGGGUUCACCAUAGGCAAUGAGAACUCUUUGUUCCCAACUGAGGAAGGGGGAGGUAAGGCACACUGGCAGCUGUGUGAUUACAACUGUAUCGGAGAGGAACAUUCCUUCAGCCUCGUAUUUCUAAGCAGCUGUCAAUAACUUUAGGGGAAGUUUGAGCAAUCUCAGAACUGUCAGGUGGUGAGGUUCAGCACAGUUAUUGGCAACGGAGGUUCAGCACAGGUGUCUGGGAAUCAAUAGGCACGCAGUGAGUUGCGUCCAAGCUUCCUUGAUUUUAGCCUUUAGGGAAAGGUGAAAAACAUUAAAGUUUUUAUAGUUUUAUUAUAGUUUGUCCAUUUACGAACCAGAUUAUAAAAGUGUUUUUAUUGAGUUCCUCAGAGAAAGCACUUCCGUUAGCUACUCAGGUCACUUGUUUGAGUCGAGUCCAGUUUUAUCUCAAUUGAUCUCCAACUGUUACAUGUAUGUUCACUACUCAUUGCUUGAGGUUCGGCAACUUUUUAUUGGGCUUAAUACGAUAGUCAAUAUUGAGGGGGCAUUUGUAUCUA